GACGAACGCUGGCGGCAGGCUUAACACAUGCAAGUCGAACGCCCCGCAAGGGGAGUGGCAGACGGGUGAGUAACGCGUGGGAACGUGCCCUUCGCUUCGGAAUAGCCCCGGGAAACUGGGAGUAAUACCGGAUACGCCGUAUUGGGAAAGAUUUAUCGGCGAAGGAUCGGCCCGCGUUAGAUUAGCUAGUUGGCGGUGUAAUGGACCACCAAGGCUACGAUCUAUAGCUGGUCUGAGAGGAUGAUCAGCCACACUGGGACUGAGACACGGCCCAGACUCCUACGGGAGGCAGCAGUGGGGAAUCUUGGACAAUGGGCGCAAGCCUGAUCCAGCCAUGCCGCGUGAGUGAAGAAGGCCUUAGGGUUGUAAAACUCUUUCGCCGGAGAAGAUAAUGACGGUAUCCGGAGAAGAAGCCCCGGCUAACUUCGUGCCAGCCGCCGCAGUAA
rnacentral:rRNA from 1 species